UGUGUGUGUGUGUGUGUGUGUGUGUGUGUGUGUGUGUUUGUAAGCCCUGUCAAUUGAACCAGUGAAUAAGAAGGCACACGUGUAAAUCAACACGGGGUCGGUCAAAGGAACACGAAAAUGGUGGUGUUCAGUUGGAUUUUUAUAAAAAUCAGCAUAAAAUCAUUAAAUAGUUCAUCUACCAUCAAAAUCCUGAAGUGUUUACUUAACAGGAUUUAUGAGAUGUGUGUAACAGGUGUGUAAAGAUUUAGCACUCGUCCAUCUUUUUUCCUUGCGAGCAUGGCUUACACACUUUCGAAGUGCGCAUGCUCUGUUUUGAAUGACGUAAUUUGUGAUGUCAUCAUAAUGGAGUUUUCCAGGGAAAGAAGUUGGCCCAUCUGAGGUAAGUAAACACGGUUGAAAGAAAAUUUUUGCAUAUUAACAAUGAGUUUUUUAUUAGAUAGACUGAUUAAAUGGUGUUUCAUACCGAUCGUGUUAUGUACAAGCGACAGAGUACCCGAGUUACUGAAAAUUCCGAUGAUGAAAGUGAUAUAUCUAGUACGUGAACUGUUUGGUUUUUUUUCUAAAAUUUAAUCUUUGCAGUUAAUGUAAUCUGUAUACUAAAAAUUCAUAUUGAUUUUGGAUAGAAUUUCACAUUUAAAAACAAAUAGAUAUGCGCCAAGUCCUUAGGAAUCAACCCCACCCCACCCCUCCACACGGGACUUUUUUUUGGAUGAUUGGACCGUAUCCCCCUUUUCAUCUGUCUCCCUACUUUGAAGUUUUUUUCCCAACGCCAUGACAUAAAUAGAUAAAUAAAUAAAAUGCAAAAAUAAAAACGAAAGAUAUAUAUGUAUUCGGAUUGGCAUGUUCCACUUUGUCCGGGUUGAAAUCCCCGAGGAUGCAAAUGUACAUUACGCCGCACUGUUUGCAGUACGUACAUGGUACAGGUGUACCGCAUAGGUAUGUAGCUACUAAGACUAUAAACCAAACAGAAUAUCAUAUGUAAAACUAUUACUCUGAAUGCAUUUUACUUGUUUACAAUGUAGCCUGUCGGGGUGUGGUGCAUGUCACACGCGUUGUUUACACGUGCACUUUAAGUGGCAGUGGAGGAAAUUCGAACCAUGUAUGGAUUAUUGUCUCCUGAUAACUUUGGCAGUUAACUUUUGAUUUCAAUCUACUUUUUAAGAAUAAUAUAACCCUCGCUAAUCAUUGCCAACCUGCAUUUCGAUCUUGGCAGAAUGAUCUUCAGCUACAAUUCAAAAUUAAGGGGUGAUGUUGUGUACUGAGUUUUUCUUGAUUGUUUACAUCUGUGACUGUUUAUGUGAUGUAUCAACUGAUCAAGCUGUACAGUGUCAUGACAUAUAGUGGCAUAGCUUCCAUUUAUGUACUUGCGCAUCAUUUUGUCAAAAGAAGAAAAUUCUAAAAUGAUAAUUAAGAUUUUUAACAUGUAUAUGAAUAUACAUGUAUGUGUAUGUUUGAUUUUAGUAUAAUACCUGUAGAGAAUAUUUCAGUAGUAUGAAGUGCCACACAUUUAGACGCAUGCAUGUGGUGUUUAAAGGUCUCAUCUGAAAGACCAGCAACUUUCUCUUUUGAAUGCUAAAUAUGAUGAUGGAGCAUUCACCUCACUACCUACAUUUUCACCCUAAAUAAAGUACAAGCAUGGCUCGAAACCAUGAUUUCUUGAUCCUGUUACCAGUCUUCACGAAAAACUUUUUAAAGUACAGGCCCUUCGGGCCUCCCAGUAUAAUAAUUGUGCAAGCCCGAACUAUAUUUUGCAGGCCCAAAAUGUUUAUUUUCUAAUUUGAUCUCUUGUUAUUUGCUGAUUCUACUCUAUAGACACAUGCACAGUUCUUUUACUGUAGGAAAAUACAGGUCAAGAUGAUCAUAGUUAAAGAACAACUGACAUUAAAAGGAUUAUAUUAUUUUUCAACAUAUUAAUCCAGUAUAUGCGAAAGUUUUUGGACCACACAGGACAUUCGGUCCAGUGUAAUCAAUGAACACACCGGACCGAACCAAAUUUUGUCAGACCGAAAAACCUAAUGUAAAAAAGUGAAACACGUGAAAAUGCAAAACCAAGUGAAUCUUAUUUAUUAUACUAGUAAUACUAUUCCAGGAAUCCUUCCCGUAUAAUACUUUAGACAGUCCAUGCGGUUUUAAUCAAUUCAUUUACGUAUUUGGAUGUGUGCUAUUUUUUUUACUUAUAACAAACUCCGCAUCAAGAUAGUAAAGCUCAAAACCGGACAUUGAGACAUCUGACAUUCCGGUCCGGUGUAAAAAAUGAUGCAUCGGACCUGAGGCACUGCAUAUCGGUCAGGUCCGACGGUCCGAUGUCUUUCGCAUAGACUGAUUAAUCUCGCAGAUACAUCAGCAGCUCAUGUUCAACUCUGUUUUGUAUACACCACGUACAAAACAUUUUUUAAAUGUUAGCCAAGGCCUACCCUCGCAGUGUUCGAAAUUGGUUUAAAACUUGGUAUAGACCACAGGUCUAUGCCAAAAUAAGAUGACUUAGACCUCAUCGAAUUGGCAUAGACCACAACAUUGAAAAAAUAAUAACACAAAUUUAAAACAUUUUCAUUUACUUCUAAUAUACUUAGAAAGUGUAUUUUCUUUCCAUUUCUGUAAUAUCAUCCUUUCCUCAUAAUGUUUAUCAGACGUCGACUGACCAUGCAAGGCCCUCUUGGAUAACUUUAUUGCUUUAAAUCUAGAAAAUUGGCAUAGACAAUUUGGUCUAUCUCAAUUACAGUUGGCAUAGACCAGUGCCAUUUGACAUAUACUCGGUCUAUGGUUAAUUUUGAACACUGCCCUCGGUCCAAUGGGGCAUGAAUUUUCGUUUUUUUCUCCUCGUACGACAGUUUUUUUUGGGGUUUUUUUAUCGGAUGGUUGUGAUUGUGAAAUACGCUUGGGUGGUUUUGAAUUUCCCGGACGAGCCCCCUCCCUAUACUUCAGAAAAGGCAGCAUGGUUGAUAAUUUUUCUAUGCGAAAUUUGACUACUAAGUCAUGACAUUUAGUCUGAGUCAAUCUCACGCUUUAUUUGUAAUAUAUACAGAACAUAUAAGAAAACAUUUACAGGCCCAUCGGACUCCAGGGUUUAAUAUUUUAAGAAGCCCGAUCCCGAUUUUACUGGCCUCGGGCAUCAGGCCACUGGUUAAUGUCGAAGACUGUGUUACCACUGAGCUACCAUGACCAAUUUUUAUACGCCCGUCUUAAGACGGGACGUAUUAUGGUAUGGCGUGUCUGUCCGUCCGUCUGUUAGCUUUUUCGUGUCCGACCCGUAACUUAAAUACUACAAGGCCUAGAAUCAUCAAACUUUGUCUGUAGAUACAUCUUGGGUAGAAGGUGUGUCGCACAUUAAAACCAGGUCACUGUGACUUUUCAUUAAGAAGAUAUGGCCAUAUAUGGCAAAAACUUGUCCGUCUGUUAGCUUUUUCGUGUCCGACUCGUAACUUAAAUACCACAAGGCCUAGAAUCAUCAAACUUUGUCUGUAGAUACAUCUUGGGUAGAAGGUGUGUCGCACAUUAAAACCAGGCCACUGUGACUUUUCAUUAAGAAGAUAUGGCCAUAUAUGGCAAAAACUUGUCCGGCUCAUAACUUGAAAACUAUUAGACCUAGAAUCACCAAAAUUGGUCAACUAAUGCAUCUUAGGUAGAAGGUGUGUCGCAUGCUACUUUAAGGUCACUGUGACAUUUAAUUAAGGUGAUAUAAAAAAAAAAUGUUUUAAUGGGUACUAUCUAUACUGUUAACAAUAUGUGACAGGCGUAUCAUGUGCCAUGGCGGUGCACUUUAUUUAACAUGAAUUCAUAGCUAAAAAAAAAUUAUUACUAAUUUUUUGGUUAAUUCCAUAAAUAUAUUAUUCCGCUCUCUAGACACAAUUCUGGGUUACCCCCCUGCCUUUGGGGGUAUAAGCACCUCAUUUCUUUCAGAAUGGCACAAUGUCAGGAGAGCUUUUGUUAUUUGUUAUACUCUUAAUGUUGAUGGCAUGCAUCUAUGAACAACAGGAUAAUUUUUUAGAUUAUUAUUUCUGAUAUCAUAUUUGUAAAUUGUUUAUGAGGGGUUGUUAAAAGUUUGUGGACAAAAGGACGCACUUAUUAAAAAUUCAGAGUUAUCGUAAGUGAAAAAUAUAGGAGAUGUGUAACAAGAUUGUAUAUUUGAAGAUUUUAAUUUUAAUUAAUUUUUAUAAGUAUUGAUUUCAGAUACAUGUAUGACAUUGCAUGCUUGGUGGGGUGGGGGGUGGGGGGUGGGGGGCUACAGUUAGAUAAUAUUCUGGUCAGCACAUUCGAUAAACUACAUGGAAUUCAUUAAAUCACUUCUUUUUCUUUCAGUGGUCUUCAACUUUUAAUCUCCAAGAAGGAAAUGUAAUUAAAAGAUGAAUAAAGUAUCCUUAAGAAUACCAGAAGAAAGGCUAUGUGUUGAGAAAAACAGCCCUUCCUCAGUACCUCAGAACUAGAUGAUAGCCCUUAAUUGUUACUUUAUGCUGAAUAUGACACAGUAUAGAAGAUCUGAUCAUGAAGAAGUAACACCAUUGAUACACUUGCCAACUGCCAAAAUUACUUUCUGAUAGUAUGACGAGAUUAGAAGAUAUGGUGUAGUCAUGACACAAACUGCAAAUCAAAGAAUUAAUUGUCUUCCCCAGAGGAUGAACAGAGCACGAUGGCUUCACAUGGAUAACAUUUCCUUUCGAGUUUUGAAAUUAAUUUGUCAGAAUGUUAUGCAUCGUUAUCAACAGAAAAGAACUUCAUAGGUAGACCAAAGCUGACAUGGGAUGAGAUCCUAGAACAAGACCUAGAGUUUACAGGAUUGGAUAGGAUCAAUCCACUGGGUCGCCAAGUGUGGAAGUACAAACUUCAACCUCGACAGGACAGCCAGGCCUCACCCUUGCAAAAAGAUUAAUUUGGCCUGGAUAGUCAAAAUGAGUGAUGAUGAUUGAUAUCAAGGUCUGACACUGGAAGCUCAGUAAGGGUAGAUGCUGGCAAUGGAGCUGUUUAGCAAUAAAACAAACAAGUUUAACAUUAAACAUGUUUGUAUACUUUUUUGGCUCACCUGAGCCAAAGGCUCAAGUGAGCUUUUCUGAUCACCUUUGCCUGUCGUCUGUCUGUUUAAAAACUUUUCACAUUUUCAUUUUCUUCUCCAGAGUGAACCACUGGGCCAGUUUCAAUCAAACUUGGUAUGCAUCAUCAAUAGAUAAAGGGUAUUCAGGUUUGUUCAUAUAAAGGGUCAUGCACCCUUCAAAAAGGAAAUAAUCAUGGAAAUGCAAAAAUAGGGUGGGGUCAUUUAAAAAACCUUUUCAAGAACCACUGGACCAGGAAAGUUGAAUUCACACGAAAGGUUCCUGUUUUGUGCAAAUCAUGGUCUCUGGGGUUAGGGUGGGGUCACAAGAGAGAAUCAAAGUUUUACAUUCAUAUAUAGUGCAUAUUCAAGUUUGUAAAAAGCUCACAGGGGUAGGAUGGGGGUCACAAUAGGGGAUUUAAGUUUUACAUGUGAAAUAUAUACAAGGAAAAUCUUUUAAAAUCUUCUCCUCAAAAACUAGAUGCAGAACCGUAGCUCUUUGAAAAGAGAGCUUCAGAUGAACCCCUUAUAAAAAAAACUUCAAUUUAUGGCAGAGAAAAAAAGUGCAUGUUUAAGUCCCUCUAUCACUGCAUUCCUGCAUCGCUGUCUCAUGAAUUUAAUAUUAAAUAAUUCCCAACAUAUUUUCCCACUAUACUUGUUUCCAAACAUACUUUCAAAUAUUUUCUAAACCCACAUAUAAC